GAGUCUACAGGUGGCUGCCAUGGGUGACCUAAUUUCAGUUGUCUGUUUCAUUCCCUCGAGCUAAAGAUGUAGCCAGCAUCCAAAAACGAGCCGAGCUGUAAGAUAAUCUAUCUUUUUAACGUUAUGGUUCAUACGAUCUAAGACACUUGAGCUGGCUGGAGCACCAGGAAGGCGAAGGGCUUCCCCGGUUCUAGUUUCGGGUCUCAAUUCCCUCCGGAAGAGGACACCGGCUGGGCAACCGGGCCCGUGGGGACUGCGGGAACUGCAGGGACUGUGGGGACCUCCCACCCUGACUCCUGAGGCGCCUCUCGGCCCAGCUCUAGCACAGCAGCCUGCAGCUCGGCUGGGUGACUGCUGCGAUCCCCAUGGGAACCGCGCCGGUUGGGCGGGGCCGCCCUCCGCCCUGCUGUACCCGCAGCCACUUGGCCGGGUCCCUGACCCCGCGCUGCAGGUCCAGAGGGUUUAAAUCGUGGAAAUCACAGCAUGGAGAGUUUGCAGGGAGAACGCCUGCUCCCAGGCUGUCCUAGCAGCCUGCUCGGGCUAGGGUGACCAGGUCCAUACCUUAUUACGUCCACUCCUUGGUGUCCGUUCCUCGCCUGUGAACCCCGGAGGACAGCAAUUGCUCGGUGCUGCAGCUUCGAAAAAUGAAUGAGAGAGAGUGAGGCAAUAGAGGGAGGCAGGAUGGCCUUCCCUCCCAUGUAGUGGGGUCUUGGCGGUGCAGAGCCUGCUUUGAUUGCCUUGACUCUUUCCCCAAUCACCUUCUUAUUGAACCUGUUUCAGUACAGUGACAGUGGCAGUUGAUGGAUGCAGGAAAUCUUGAAAUAAGGAUCGCACAGACAGCCUCUACAUUUUGUCAGCCCUUCCAUCCCCUAUGCUAGGCGCCGAGGUGCUUGUGUGCUGGCGGCAGGGCUACAGCAGAGAAAACGCACGAUGUGAAACCUGGCCAACCCGGGGCAAGGAACGUGCGAUGCAAAUGUACACAGAGCUCAAGAGGAAGCUGGGUCUGGGCAUACCGAGCGUGACGGCUGCCUGGCAAAGGGUAGAGGUAUAAUGAGUUACUAGAAUAGACUCGUGGUGGUCUGGGACCCUCCCCAGAAAUCAUGUGCAAAUGUGAAUGCCUACUCUUUUUGACUUUUGUCUUCUCGAUAGCUUUGCCUUGCCCAGAAUAUCGCGUACAUGGAAACAUACAGUGCACAGCUUUUAUUGAGUCAGAUUCUCACUUCACAGAAUACAUCUGAGAGCCACACACAUCUUGCAUUUAGCAGCAGUGUCUUCCUGUUUAUUGCCGGGUAGCGUUCUGUUGUAUGAACGUACUGACUGGUAUUUAUUUGUUUAUUCAAUCCUGGUUGAAGGAUAUUUGGAUUGUUUCCAGUGUGGGGUGAUUAUACAUGAAGCCGCUAUAGACGCCGUGCAUGGUGCUUUCUGUGAAGCCAGGUCUUCAUUUUUCUUGGGGAAAUCCUUAGCGGGAGACCUCUGCACAUUGAGCUUAUCUUUUCCAUUUUACCUUCCCACCUGCAAUGUCCCCAGUGCCCGGCAUCCUUGCGGUCCUUUUGGCUUUAACUAUUUUUUAAAAAUAUUUAUUUAUCUAUUAUUACAUGUAAGUACACUGUAGCUGUCUUCAGACACUCCAGAAGAGGGCGUCAGGUCUCAUUACGGAUGGUUGUGAGCUACCAUGUGGUUGCUGGGAUUUGAACUCAGGACCUAUGGAAGAGCAGUCAGCUCUCUUAACUGCUGAGCCAUCUCACCAGCGGAUUUAGCUAUUAAAAUAGAUGGUUAAUGGCUUCUAAUGGUUUUAAUAUGAAUUUGACUUUUAACCUUCCCUAUAGAUGUGUUCUCGCUUCAGGAUUCUAAGAGACUUAUGGAAAUUUUUUGGCGCCAACACCUCUCUCUUCCCCAGUGGGCUGCAGUUCUCACUUGGGACAUGGCAAAAGGCAGAAGGACAAACAAACAAACAAACAAAACCCCUCUAGUUGAUUGAAUUAAGUACAAGAUGGCGAUCUUAUUACUAAUUUCCAUACUUGGGUGGAGCUCAGGACCCUGUGCUCGCCAGGUAGGUGCCCCCAGUGGGAGACAGGAUUGCUGUUAUUGUUCCUGUCUCUGACAAUGUUCUCCUUCACCUUUUAAGAGAGUUGUUUAUAGGGACCACCAAGUAGGGACAUUUUGAUUUUUCUUUAUCACUUUCUCUUUUCACUGGGUAGGUUCUUCUGUGUGAUGGCAAGACCACACUGCUCUGAGUUGUUAUUGAAAGCAGUCUUAUGCUAGUAAGCACAUUGGUGGUUAAUUGUUUAUUCACUUAUUCACUUACGCUUGCUGUAGGCAGCCUCUAAGAGGACGCUUAAUGACCUGCCUCCUGACAGCUAUGCCCUUGUGGGCCUUCUUGAGCUUUGCUCACUCUGUCCUUUUUUUCACGAGAAGCUUUUAACUGUCUUCAGGUUAUAUAGGUAUAUAAAGUAAGCUUACAAGUCAAACGUUUUCUAAAAUUAAAUCAUGAAAAAAUUAUUUUUAAAAUAAUUCUUGGAGAGCCAGGACUAGUGACAUAUUCGUGUAAAUCUAACACUUGGGAGCUAAAGGUAGGAGGACCAGGAAGGUUAAAGUCUAUUCCCAGGCCUCACAGGCAGUUCAAGCCAGCCUAGAUCCUGUCUCAAAAAAAUACCACCCCUUAUGCACCUCUCUCUCUCUCUCUUUCCCUCUCUCUUUUUCUCUCUCUCAUACACACUAAUUCUUUGGUGUCUAUAUAAUUUUAUCACUUAUUAAAAACAAAAUGAAUAUGCUCGUUUUUCUUCCUAUAAAGAACAUUUGAUGUUGCAAGAGUAUCUUUGUUUUUAAGAGUUGACCAAUUCAGCUGGGUGUGGUGGUGCACGCCUUUAAUCCCAGCACUUGGGAGGCAGAGGCAGGCGGAUUUCUGAGUCUGAGGCCAGCCUGGUUUACAAAGUGAGUUCCAGGACAGCCAGGGCUAUACAGAGAAAACCCUGUCUCGAAAAACCAAAAAAAAAGAAAAAAAAAAAAAGUUGACCAAUUCCUUGAUUUUAUAAUACUUGGCACCAAAACAGUAUAACUAUGAUAUACAGAACCGCAGUAGCAUACUUAGGGACAUUAAAAAAUUCUUGGAAAAUUUGUUCUAAACCCCAAGCCAAAAUUCAUUUAAUAGAU
rnacentral:lncRNA from 1 species